AGCGAACGCUGGCGGCAGGCCUAACACAUGCAAGUCGAACGAACCUUUCGGGGUUAGUGGCGGACGGGUGAGUAACACGUGGGAACGUGCCUUUAGGUUCGGAAUAACUCAGGGAAACUUGUGCUAAUACCGAAUGUGCCCUUCGGUGGGAAGAUUAAUCGCCUCUAGAGCGGCCCGCGUCCGAUUAGCUAGUUGGUUGAGGUAAUGGCUCACCAAGGCGACGAUCAGUAGCUGGUCUGAGAGGAUGAUCAGCGACAUUGGGACUGAGACACGGCCCAAACUCCUACGGGAGGCAGCAGUGGGGAAUCUUGCGCAAUGGGCGAAAGCCUGACGCAGCCAGGCCGCGUGAAUGAUGAAGGUCUUAGGAUUGUAAAAUUCUUUCACCGGGGACGAUAAUGACGGUACCCGGAGAAGAAGCCCCGGCUAACUUCGUG
rnacentral:rRNA from 1 species